AAUCUAGAGCUAAUACAUGUACUAUCGUGGCUACCACCACGACUAUUGCAUUUAUUAUAUAUGACCAACCGUGUUGAGGUGCAUGUUGCCUGAAUGCGUGAUGAAUCUAGAUAACUGUGCAGAUCGUAUGGCCUUGAGCCGAUGACAUUUCGAUUGAAUUUCUGCCCUAUCAACUAUUGUCGGCAGUUUAGUUGACUGCCGAGGUUAUCACGGGUAACGGGGAAUCAGGGUUCGAUUCCGGAGAGGGAGCCUGAGAAAUGGCUACCACAUCCAAGGAUGGCAGCAGGCGCGCAAAUUACCCAAUCCAGAUAAUGGGAGGUGGUAAAGAAAAGUACCAAAUGCCGGUCGUAAGAUCGUCAAUUUGGAAUGGAAACAAUUUAAGAAAUUGUUUGAGUAACAACUGGAGGGCAAGUCUGGUGCCAGCAGCCGCGGUAAUUCCAGCUCCAGUAGCGUAUCUCAAAGUUGCUGCGCUUAAAACGCUCGUAGUUGGAUCACUAAACCAUGUGUUAGUGGAUGCAGCGGGCUAUGAUGUGAGUUGUGCGGAAUGUGCUAUAUGCUCACAUAUAUAACAGGUCUGUUACAACGUAGUUGUAGUGUGUUGCAACUGAAAGCUAAUGCAUGGUAAUUGCGUGUGAGGUUGUUUGUUGACCUUUAUUGCGUCGAUAAUCGUGUCUCACAGAGUGUGCCUUGAGUAAAUCAGAGUGCUUAAAGCAAGUAUUUAUGCUUGAAUGUUGAUAGCAUGGAACGAACGAUCGUGUAUGGUGUGCAAUAAAGUUGGACAUGUAACGGAGUUGCAUGAAUCCGGUUAUUGCACCACACCGACCACCAAUUACGGAUGUUGGUUCCGUAUUGGGGUACUGAUUAAGAGGAGCGGUUGGGGGCAUUGGUAUUUGGCAGCGAGAGGUGAAAUUCUUGGACCUACCAAGGACCAACAAAUGCGAAGGCAUCUGCCAAGACCGUAUCCAUUAAUCAAGAACGAGAGUGAGAGGUUCGAAGACGAUCAGAUACCGUCCUAGUUCUCACUGUAAACUAUGCCGACCCGGGAUCAGUUUGGAGCAAUUUCCACGCUCGAGGUUGGUCCCCCUGGGAAACCUAAAGUUUUUCGGUUGCGGGGGGAGUAUGGUCGCAAGGCUGAAACUUAAAGGAAUUGACGGAAGGGCACCACCAGGGGUGGAGCCUGCGGCUUAAUUUGACUCAACACGGGAAAACUUACCUGGUCCGGACAUUAAAAGGAUAAACAGACCGAAAGAUCUUAUUUUGAUAUGAUGAUUGGUGGUGCAUGGCCGUUCUUAGUUCGUGGAGUGAUCUGUCAGGCCAAUCCCGGUAACGAACGAGACCACAAUCUUCAUUUGAGGUGCCAAAGAAGAUGGGUUUUUGCACGUUUGUGGUGGAAACAUCACUUGUGUGAUAGCUCAUCGUUGGUAGUGAUGUUGUUAUGCUUGGAUGUGUUGUUGCUAUGGCAACAUAGUUGCGAUUUGAAGAGUGUGAUUGAUUUUGCUCCCUUUGGUGGGACAAUGUGUAAAUCGCAAGAUUUGUGUGUUGUUAUCAUGAAGAGACAGCGGAAUAUAUGUAAAAAUCCGAGGAAGUGUGGCUAUAACAGGUCUGUGAUGCCCUUAGAUGUUCAGGGCUGCACGCGCGCUACAAUGGUGGUGACAACGAGUUUCUGGAUCGAAGGAUCUGGGUAAUCUUGCAAUCACCACCGUGAUGGGGAUCGAUGUUUGUAAUUA
rnacentral:rRNA from 1 species